rnacentral:lncRNA from 1 species
CUUGCCGGAACCACCAGAAAGGCAGAGACGCACAUAUUUUCUCCUCUUUGGACCCGCUCGGGUGGCCUCAUUUUGAUUUGUCAAGAUUUUGACCAUAGAUCCAUCUGCUGACCUUGUAAGUGGAUUUAUAUGUUUGAUCAUGAUCAAGGUACAAUCUUUUCAUGGUUUUCCUGUUGAUUUUAAUGAGUUUAUUAUGGGUUUUUGUUAUGUGUUUUUUGUAUUCAA